rnacentral:lncRNA from 1 species
GUCCAAGAGGCAACAUGGCCAAAGAGAUGCUGGUGGAAAAUCUUUGGAAGGAGGAAUUGGAGAGUAAGAGGGGGAUCGGCACAGGAUGAAUGAUGGCACUUGGUUUGAAGACUCCGAAAAUGUUUUUCAAGGUGGCAGUAUGUGAAGAAGCAGUGACUCUUUGAAAGACCGUGAUGCACCGAAGAAAUGGAAUGGAAUGGACAGAUGAGGUACAUGACAUUGACAUGGUAACGGCUAAUGGCACAUUUGAGCAGAAUCUUCAGCAGGAGUUGGCUUCCUGGCAGAAAUGGGGGAUCGGCACAGGAUGAAUGAUGGCACUUGGUUUGAAGACUCCGAAAAUGUUUUCAAGGUGGCAGCAUGUGAAGAAGUAGUGACUUUUUGAAAGACUGAGGUGCAAUGAAGAAAUGGAAAGGAAUGGAGUGGACAGAUGAGAUUGAUGAUUGAAUGUUGGCAGAUCCUCAUCUCGUGAUUGUGACCUAAGGAGUUGAUCUUCCAUUUCAAGACUCGAGAUUACCAAGGGGGUGUGCUACACCUUGUGGUUAUAUAUAGCAGGGUUUUGAAACUGAUGCGUCUUGAAAUUGGACGUCUUGAAACGACUGAGGAUUACAAGGUGCUCCAUUUGCUUGUUGAAUAUUGAGUGGAAACUGAUAACCCUCAAGGUAUCUCCAAAGCUGGUCUGGAAAGCUUGUUACUAUAGAAUUGUUCCUGCUGGUGCAUGUUGCUAAUUCCAAUUCUACAGCAAACCACUUGUAGCUAUAGUAGGGCUGGCAACACUAGAAAUUCUAAGCCUUUUACAGAUCAGAUGGUAUGAGUCUCUGAAUAUCUUGAUGCAGAUGGACUUUGAAGGCUUUUGAACUAUUGGAUGAACUCCUGUGAAGAAUACGUACUGUGGGUUAUGAAUAUUGAUCAUUAACUACAGUCUGGUGUCCCUUUUUUUUUUUUAUAUUGUGCAUAUGAAGUUUGACAAAUGUUCAUUUGCUGUUCAAUAAAAAAAAAAAAAAAAAAAAAA